rnacentral:rRNA from 1 species
UCUUUUGAUUUUAAUUUAAGAUCAGGCCUGCCCAUUGAUUUUAUAGAAUUAAAAGGCUGCGGUAUUUUAACUGUACGAAGGUAGCAUAAUCACUUGUCUUUUAAUUGAAGGCUAGAAUGAAUGGUUUGAUGAAAGAUAAACUUUCUUUUUUCAAUUAAAUUAAAUUUAAUUUUUUAGUUAAAAAGCUAAAAUUUUUUUAUAGGACGAGAAGACCCUAUAGAAGUUUACUUUAUUUAUAAAAAUUUUUUUUUAGUUUAUAAAAUUUAAUUUUAGAAUAUAAAGUUUUGUUGGGGUGACAGUUGAAUUUAUAAAACUUUGAUUUAUUUUUUCAUUAAUUUAUGUUUUUCUUGAUCCAAUUUUAUUGAUUAUAAGAUUAACUUACCUUAGGGAUAACAGCGUAAUUUUUUCGGAGAGUUCAUAUC